AAUGAGCUAGCCGAGCAACUGAUUUUCAUCCCGUUAAAAGAAGAAGAUCCUGAGAAGAUGGUCCAAAUUAGAUCGCAGUUGUCUGAUCCGAAGCGACAAUAACUGAUGAAUCUAUUAAGAGCGAACGUCGAUAUUUUGCUUGGUCCGCAACAGAUAUGUCAGAAAUUUCUCCAAAAGUAAUAACCCACCGGCUGAACAUUGAUCUUAAAGUUAAGCCGAUGAGACAAAAGAAAAGAUUUUUUUCUCCUGAA
rnacentral:lncRNA from 1 species